AGGCACCACCAUGAGCACAGGCAGUGAAACUGAAGCCCCACCACCCCCUCCCUAAGGCACUGAAGUGUACCCUUUAAGCCAGGGCAGGAGAGGGCCACACUUUCAGUGCUAACAAUUGGCUCCGGGAGCUGUGUCUCCCAUUUGAGAGAGGUCAAGGGCCACCUGCAUCCAAAGCCCCUUGGCAGGCUGAUACCAUGGACAUCCCUGGCCUCCUCCCCAGGUACCCUGGCAGCCAUUCUCUUUCUACCAUCCCAGGGACAGAGAUGAGGACAGCCUCCUCAGAAAGGAAGGCGAUAAGAUGGAGAGGAAGGGUCAGCUGCUCCUUCACCUGGCAUUGAGACCCAAAGCCACAAAAUUCUCAGAAGCAGAGCCUCAUGUCAACAUUCCAAGUCUUCGGCAGCCUGCUAACACCCCAGCUUGCUGCAGGGAAGCUGUGCCCUGAGACGCCACAGGUGACACAGCAACUGCUGGCAGCAAGAGCCUCAUCCCUCUCCCAGACAAGGGUCCCAGUGCACACCUGUCAGAGUUCAUGUAUAGCCUGGCAUUUGGAACAGGAGUUGGGAGCGGGGAAUGGAAAUAAACAAAUCCUUCAGGAGGAAUGGUGAGGCACUUGUUUUCACAUGGAGAAGGAAGCAUUACCAAGUCAAUACACCACUAUUUUCUCCUUUUUAGUCCUCACAAGAAUAAAGCAUAGUGAGAAAAAGGGAGGCCACACGCACCAGCUGGCACAACUUCAGGAGGGACAAAAGGCAUAUGACCUUCAUCAGACUUUGCACAGGAGAGAAAUAAACCCUUCCAUUAUC